rnacentral:rRNA from 1 species
AUGGAUGAGGACGACCACCGGGACCUCCACAGCGACGUUGACGCCCCGCACAUGGUUGAGCUGGACGGAAAAACGCCGAACUGGCUCAGCAACCACGUCGUGUACAAGGGCCAACUCCACUACGGCUCCUCAGAUCCUCAUCAGGCAAGAAGAAGUGCCAUCACUGUAGGUGCCCUCCUUCCAUGGACGAGGAGGACAUUGACCUGGACCUUGACGGCGACGUCGUCCAGCCCACACAAGGUCGCUGCCACCCAAUAA